GAUCAACGCUGGCGGCGUACUUAACACAUGCAAGUCGAACGAAGUUUUUCUUUCGGGAGGAACUUAGUGGCGGACGGGUGAGUAACGCGUGGGUAACCUGCCCUGUACAGGGGGACAACAGCUGGAAACGGCUGCUAAUACCGCAUAAGCCCUUAGCACUGCAUGGUGCAUAGGGAAAAGGAGCAAUCCGGUACAGGAUGGACCCGCGUCUGAUUAGCCAGUUGGCAGGGUAACGGCCUACCAAAGCGACGAUCAGUAGCCGAUCUGAGAGGAUGUACGGCCACAUUGGGACUGAGACACGGCCCAGACUCCUACGGGAGGCAGCAGUGGGGAAUAUUGCACAAUGGAGGAAACUCUGAUGCAGCGACGCCGCGUGAGUGAAGAAGUAUUUCGGUAUGUAAAGCUCUAUCAGCAGGAAAGAAAAUGACGGUACCUGACUAAGAAGCACCGGCUAAAUACGUG
rnacentral:rRNA from 1 species